rnacentral:ncRNA from 1 species
GCUAGGCGCCAUCGUUUGGGUGCCCUUCACAGGGUGAAACGGGAAACCGGUGCGUGCCAACCUCGAGAGGCGUUGGUACAAGUCCGGUGCUGCCCCCGCAACGGUAAGCGAGAGAAGUGUCAGAUCCACUGUGCUCCUGGGCAUGGGAAGGCGACGCUUUCAAGGCUGGCUCAUGCCGCCCCUCGCAAGCCCGGAGACCGGCCCAGACAGUCUUUGCUCG